AUGUCGGAGAGAAGAGUCCUUGAACUGACCCGUGUCACGUACAGCUGGUUCCGUGGCAGGUGGACCUAGAAUACAACAGUAUGGAUGUUGUGGAUGGAAGGCCCUAGAUGUGGACAGCAUUCAUCUAUGAACAUAUUGCAUAAGCAGUACUGGACAGCCAACAGGGUGCCUUUCUUCAUACCAGUGACUGUUAGCUGAAGUGGGGUUCCUAUUGUUACGCAAGUGGCCCCAAUACCAAACCGGUCCACACACGCACCAGCCUGCCUCUUGACGAGACAGUUUUACUGAGAGGCUAUCGACAUCAAUGAAAUACAGUACCACCCUGAUAA